ACAUCUGUGUGAGUGAUGCCUGCUGUUGGUGCAGGGCAGGCAGUGGGCAGUGCUACACCUGGCAGUGGCUCUGCUGCUUUCCGGGCAUCUCCCCCUGCUCCUCAUCUCCCUUUGUGUGCUCCAUGAUGGUUCAGACUCCUUUUUCUCAGACCUCCUCCUCUAUUUUCAUGUUGCCUGAUGACGGUGUUCCCAUUCAGCUUUGUUUUUCUGCUCGUCCCCAUCUCUCUGGGUUUCCUUUUGAUGUGCUGCACUGUGAGUCUUCCAGACAAGUCGGGCUCUUGAAAGAGAAAGAAAUGUUGCUUUCUGAAAGACAAGCUUUGUUUGCAAAAGGCACCGGUAACCAAAGUAUUUAAAAACUCAAGUGUCUGCUUCAUCUCUUGGAAGGCUCUUUAAAAAACACAGUUUAUCUGCAGAUGAGAAAGAGCUGCUGGGGCUGUUCAUUGACUUUGCACUUACACUUUCCCUAUCGUUGAUCUGAUUUUUGUUGAACAAAAACUCCUGAAAAAUAUUUUAUCACCAUGACGAGGUGAUACAGCAUAUUCUAAAAUAUGUUUCUGGCUGGGAAUCGCCCUACAAAUCCCAGAUCUGCUUUUCUGCACCUCAGCAUUCAUCCAGCGGUGUCGGUUGACCCCAGCAGGCUUUGGGUUGGGAUGAGGAUAGGACUGGGCUGCUCAGCAGACUGAAGCUUGGGAGAAUGGUGUGUAGAGGGAAGAUAUAGCAACACACAGAUGAUUGUUUGUAAGAACAAGCUCUUGUUGCUGCUUAUUGUUGGAGAAGCGGCUGUGUGCACCACGAGUAACAGCAGCUCCAACCAACGCUUCGUGUGCUGGGAAGCUGAUGGAGCAGAGCUGACGUUCUCACUAGUUAAUGACCACAUUCUUCUCAGAUUGUUGUCUUGAUAUGCAUCUUCUGAUCUUUGUAAGCUCCUUUCUUCAUAUUUAAGCUGCUUUCUUAGUAUUUAAGCUGCUUUCUAAUAUUUACUAAAAUUUCCUAGAGCUUUAACACUGGUAUUAAUUAGGCACGUGUUUUAAACUUCAAUUAGCCCUGUUAAAUACUGCAUUAUUUUAUUGUCUUGAAUUUUUUGCUAUGUUCCGUAAAAAUAUCACAUUGUUACUUUAUUUCAGAGCUUCAAAACUCGGCUGAGGUUCUGAGAGAUGAAUGUAUACACAGUUAUAGGCAUUUUGGGUAUAUAUAUAUGGGUAUUUCGGUAAUGUCAUCAGAACUGUCAAGAAUGUGUUGGAGCUCUCAGUCAGAAUUUAUUACCUUGCAUGGAACUUCUAUGUUCCUUGAUACCACAUUCUGUUGCCACUUUGUGCUUACAAAGAAUUUCCCAUUUACUGCUCCAGCUUCAACUGAGGCUGUGCUAAAGAUUCUUCAUUAAAUUGCCUUAU
ensembl:lncRNA